AUAUGGACGCUAAAUAACUUCCGGUAUUUUGAUGCGGGAAGAAAGUCACAUGGAAAAUCAUAAUUAGUAAUUCAUUGCGAACAUUCUGAAAAAUAAGACCUUGUUUGUAGGAUAGAGAAAGAUUUAAUCUACAAAGAAACAUAAAUAUGGAUCACGACGAUCUUGACGAAGACAUCGAACGCUUGAAAAUAAUUUUGCAAGAUGAGGAGGGUGAAGAGGAGGGCGAUAGUGAUGGAGAAUUAAGAGUUUUAGAGAAUAACGAAGAAGAAUAUUACAGUAAUGCAUCAAGACCAAGCACUAGUAGUGAUGUUACAGCCUCAUCAUUUCCCACAACAUCAGUGUGCACAGAUGCUGAUGAUGCUGUCUUUAGGUUUGAUCCUAACACAAUCACAGCUGAGACAUGUCUUGCCAUGAACAGGGCCUACCAGGAGGUGUUGUUAGAUACUCUUAGACAGAUAGAAAUAUCACUGAUGGAAAACAGGAAUAGACAGAAAGAACUCGAGGAGAAUGUGGAUGAGAAAGUUAAGAAGACAGACAAACAGACAAACAAAGAAUUCUAUGAUUUAGAUUGUAGACAUAUGCCAUAUUUCAAAGAUAAAGAUGGACAGGUUCCACCAUACAAUGAUGAUGUCAAACAGAAGGAACAGAUGAAUGAAGAAAAACAGCAUGUGAAACCCAAAACUAUCUGGAGCAAGAAGCAGAGGAAGAUGUUGGUGGAUGCCAUAAAGCUGGAUGCACUGGAACAGGCAGUUAGACCCCUACUGAACAAACAGGAAGUGGAGAUGGAAAAGUUAGGAAGAUGUAAGAAUACAGAGGAGAUACAAGAAACUAAGGCUAGAAUAGAGAAAAUACAGCAAGAUAUUAAACAAAAACAAGAGACACCAGCAGAUGAAUUGUUGAGGAGUUGUGACAACAAGAAAAUUGAUUUCCUAAAGAUAGCUGUUAUAACUUUUGGCAAUAAAUUCUCUGUAACAGAAUGUGAGAGUAUGUGGAACACAGUUUUACGGCCAGAAAUUAAUCGUGAUAAAUGGACACCUGCUGAAGAAGAGGACUUGAACAGAUUGGCAAUCAAAUAUGAGAUGAGAAAUUGGAGUAAAAUUGCCGAAGAAUUAGGGUCUAACAGAACACCAUUCCAGUGUCUGCAGCACUACCAACAACAUAAUAUUGUAUAUGAUAACAGUGAAUGGACUGAGGAAGAAGACGAAUUACUGAAAGAAGUUGUUGAGACAUGUACAUAUGGUUUAGGCAGAGUAAAGUGGUUCCAGGUUGCCUAUUACAUAGAUCGUAGAAGUCCAGAGCAGUGUCACUCAAGAUGGAAUAAAAUAGAUCCAAACAGAACUUGUGGCAGAUGGUCAAAGGAAGAGGAUCUACAACUGGUGAAUGCCAUUCAUAUACAUGGUGGUGUGGCAGACUGGAAUAAAAUAAAGGAACUAGUACCAACUAGGUCAGCUAUACAAUGUAGAGAAAGAUUUGUCUAUCGAUUAAGUGGAGAUGUUCUGUUUAAGCCAUGGACAUAUGAAGAUGAUAAGAAAUUAUUACAGUUACAUCAGGUUCAUGGAUCAAAUUGGACAAGAAUUGCGAUGGAAUUUGAAGGACGGAAUGAUAAUAUGCUCUUGGUUAGAUAUAAACGUCUGAUGAAAUGGCAGCAAUUAUCUGAGGGUUUCUACUCUCAAAGUAAGAAGGUACAGAAACAGCUGAAACAUCCAGCCUUCAAGUUUGGAAGUGGCGCGAUUGUUCCAAAGUCAGGGUUAAAGCUUCGUUGGGGAAAACCAGGACAUCCUAGGAAAGGAGAAACACCUCAUGUUAGAAGAAGACAUAAGACAGAAAUUGAAAAAUUGAAAGAAAUAGGAGGUCGUGAUGCUAAAGACUCUGAUGAUGAUAAUAAUGAUGAUGACAAUGAUGACAUCAAAGAAGAAGAAGAAGAAGUGUUGAGGAAGAAGAAGAAGAAGAAGAUAAAGGAAAAACCCGAUCAUUAAGAGAGAUGCAGGAUAGUUUGGAUGCAUUUCUCGUCUUAUACAAUAUACAGGCAUAUGAUUAUUACAAGCAAAUAGCUGACAGAGAGCUAGGUAACUUAGUGGUACCUCGACCCCCUCCAAUCAGAAGACAAAAAAUGAAUGUUGGACAAGCUUUGUGGAAGAAACAGGACAAGCUACAGGAUGUUGUAGCGACACAGAUUGAUGCCUAUAUCAGGAACAUACAGACC
rnacentral:misc_RNA from 1 species